rnacentral:rRNA from 1 species
AGAUUAAGUUAUUAAGGGCGCACGGUGGAUGCCUUGGCACUAGAAGCCGAUGAAGGACGUUACUAACGACGAUAUGCUUUGGGGAGCUGUAAGUAAGCUUUGAUCCAGAGAUUUCCGAAUGGGGAAACCCAGCAUGAGUUAUGUCAUGUUAUCGAUAUGUGAAUACAUAGCAUAUCAGAAGGCACACCCGGAGAACUGAAACAUCUUAGUACCCGGAGGAAGAGAAAGAAAAUUCGAUUCCCUUAGUAGCGGCGAGCGAAACGGGAAGAGCCCAAACCAACAAGCUUGCUUGUUGGGGUUGUAGGACACUCUAUACGGAGUUACAAAGGACGACAUUAGACGAAUCAUCUGGAAAGAUGAAUCAAAGAAGGUAAUAAUCCUGUAGUCGAAAAUGUUGUCUCUCUUGAGUGGAUCCUGAGUACGACGGAGCACGUGAAAUUCCGUCGGAAUCUGGGAGGACCAUCUCCUAAGGCUAAAUACUCUCUAGUGACCGAUAGUGAACCAGUACCGUGAGGGAAAGGUGAAAAGCACCCCGGAAGGGGAGUGAAAUAGAACCUGAAACCGUGUGCUUACAAGUAGUCAGAGCCCGUUAAUGGGUGAUGGCGUGCCUUUUGUAGAAUGAACCGGCGAGUUACGAUUUGAUGCAAGGUUAAGCAGUAAAUGUGGAGCCGUAGCGAAAGCGAGUCUGAAUAGGGCGUUUAGUAUUUGGUCGUAGACCCGAAACCAGGUGAUCUACCCUUGGUCAGGUUGAAGUUCAGGUAACACUGAAUGGAGGACCGAACCGACUUACGUUGAAAAGUGAGCGGAUGAACUGAGGGUAGCGGAGAAAUUCCAAUCGAACCUGGAGAUAGCUGGUUCUCUCCGAAAUAGCUUUAGGGCUAGCCUCAAGUGAUGAUUAUUGGAGGUAGAGCACUGUUUGGACGAGGGGCCCCUCUCGGGUUACCGAAUUCAGACAAACUCCGAAUGCCAAUUAAUUUAACUUGGGAGUCAGAACAUGGGUGAUAAGGUCCGUGUUCGAAAGGGAAACAGCCCAGACCACCAGCUAAGGUCCCAAAAUAUAUGUUAAGUGGAAAAGGAUGUGGCGUUGCCCAGACAACUAGGAUGUUGGCUUAGAAGCAGCCAUCAUUUAAAGAGUGCGUAAUAGCUCACUAGUCGAGUGACACUGCGCCGAAAAUGUACCGGGGCUAAACAUAUUACCGAAGCUGUGGAUUGUCCUUUGGACAAUGGUAGGAGAGCGUUCUAAGGGCGUUGAAGCAUGAUCGUAAGGACAUGUGGAGCGCUUAGAAGUGAGAAUGCCGGUGUGAGUAGCGAAAGACGGGUGAGAAUCCCGUCCACCGAUUGACUAAGGUUUCCAGAGGAAGGCUCGUCCGCUCUGGGUUAGUCGGGUCCUAAGCUGAGGCCGACAGGCGUAGGCGAUGGAUAACAGGUUGAUAUUCCUGUACCACCUAUAAUCGUUUUAAUCGAUGGGGGGACGCAGUAGGAUAGGCGAAGCGUGCGAUUGGAUUGCACGUCUAAGCAGUAAGGCUGAGUAUUAGGCAAAUCCGGUACUCGUUAAGGCUGAGCUGUGAUGGGGAGAAGACAUUGAGUCUUCGAGUCGUUGAUUUCACACUGCCGAGAAAAGCCUCUAGAUAGAAAAUAGGUGCCCGUACCGCAAACCGACAC